rnacentral:lncRNA from 1 species
AUCAGAGGCCCUGCCAACUCCUAUGUUUCCAACACAUGCCCUGCUGACUCCUGUUUCCUUCUUGACUGUUAUUUAGGGAGCAAGACGGUGAGGGAGGGCUGGGAUGGAGAGCAGGGGGCGUAGUAGGGGUACGGCUCAACUUACCCCUGUCCUUUGGUCAACUUACCCCAUCCACAGGGUAAGUUGACCAUUGGAGACCACUUUUUUUUGGCAUGCUAUAUUAUCAAGACAGUUAUGUUUACACUCAUUCUGUUGGUUUGCAGGGAUGCACAACAUCUUGAAAUAUACGCAGAUGCUUCAGACCUGCUUCAGACCAUCAUUUAGAGCACUCACACUUCAUAAGGACUGACUAAAAAAAUGAAAAAUAAAAAAAUAAUAAGAAAAAUAAUUCAUGCUCAGCAUAACAGAAGCAUCCCCUCACUGUGAUUCAUAAUCUACAUUUGUAACAUAGUUUUCUGAUAACUUUCAACAUUGACACUAGAGUCACAAUCACCCACAAUCAGGAUUCUGCGCGGUUCAGAAAUUUGGGUUAAUUUUUCAAAACCUUUGGAGAAACACAAGGAAAAUCAACUGAAAUCAACAAUGUUUGUUUUUUAGGACACUCAAAUACUCCAGCGUGAGUGUUAAUUAGCUGUAGGUUAUUUUUCAGUCUUUGUUGAUGAUAUGCCGUGUUGAGUUUCUUCCUCCGGUUGCCAAAUUUAACCCGUGACCAGUUCAAGAAUUCCCCCAAAUUCUAAAACACAUUAUGCAACCAGUGCAGACAAAUUUAGACUAAGGGAGAUACAUCCUGCAUGUAUUCUCUGUAAAGGUUACAUUUCAAUGAACAGUGGAAGUUAAUGAGGCAUUAAAUUAAAAAAUUUCAACCUCAAUUUCAAAACAGUUAAGAUGGGGACAACCAAAGACUGACAAAGUUGUGCAAUGUUAGAAAAAAAUCCUGGAAAAUCUCCCAACUAAUGAGGUUAAUCUACAACAGAAUAGUGACAUGACUGGGUAUGAAAAGGAGGUUCACCACUCUGUGAGAGACUGCAUAGGCUAAUAGUUCAACAAUUCAAGAAUGAUGUUCUGUAGAGUAAAAUUUCAAAAUAAUUAGGGCUUUCUUUAUCUAUAGUACAAUACAAUGUAAAGACUCGAGAGACAUCUCUGUAUAGAGGGGACAAGGACCAGAGCUAAUACUGGAUCGUUGGGCCCUUAGGAACCACAUAAAAAACAGAGAAGGCUCUGUAGUAGAAAUAGCAUGAUCCCAAAAUAGGAGUGACUUCUAAGCUAAGGCAAAGUAAAAACUGUCUUGGAAUCUGACAAAUCAAAAUUUGACAUAUUGAAUUUCCCUUUGGGGAUUAAUAAAGUUACUCUUAUUAUAUUUUACCAUGAAUGUUGUGUCCUCGCUCCCUGAGAGGAAAGGUAAUACCCAGCUUUUCUCAUCUCCCAGUCCAAAUCGAGCAUCCCUGUUGGUGUUUGGAUCAUCAGAGUUCAUGGCAUGGGUAUCUUCCUCAUCUGUGAAGGAUCCAUUAAUGCUGAACAAUAUCUGCAUGUUUAGGAGCAACAUCUGCUGACAUCCAGACAAAGACUUUUUCAGAGAAGACCUUCAUUUUUCAGCAAGACAAUGACAAACCACAUUCUGACAACAUGAAUUACAACAGCAUGGCUCUGUAGGCGAAGAGUCCUGCUAAUUUGUCCAUGAUUGAAAACAUUUG